GAUGAACGCUGGCGGCGUGCUUAACACAUGCAAGUCGAACGAGAAGUGAAGACGGAAACCUUCGGGCGGAAGGCUUUAUUUCGAGUGGCGGACGGGUGAGUAACGCGUGGGUAACCUGCCUCAUACAGGGGGAUAACAGUUGGAAACGACUGUUAAUACCGCAUAAGACCACAGCACCGCAUGGUGCGGGGGUAAAAACUCCGGUGGUAUGAGAUGGACCCGCGUUCGAUUAGCCAGUUGGCGGGGUAACGGCCCACCAAAGCGACGAUCGAUAGCCGAUCUGAGAGGAUGACCGGCCACAUUGGGACUGAGACACGGCCCAAACUCCUACGGGAGGCAGCAGUGGGGAAUAUUGCACAAUGGGGGAACCCUGAUGCAGCGACGCCGCGUGAGUGAAGAAGUAUUUCGGUAUGUAAAGCUCUAUCAGCAGGGAAGAAAAUGACGGUACCUGAGUAAGAAGCCCCGGCUAACUACGUG
rnacentral:rRNA from 1 species